UACAGAGGGUGCGAGCGUUAAUCGGAAUUACUGGGCGUAAAGCGCACGUAGGUGGCGACGUAAGUCUGUCGUGAAAGCCCCGGGCUCAACCUGGGAAUGGCGAUGGAUACUGGCUCGCUAGAGUGCGGUAGAGGAGAGUGGAAUUCCCGGUGUAGCAGUGAAAUGCGUAGAGAUCGGGAGGAACAUCAGUUGCGAAGGCGGCUCUCUGGACCAGCACUGACACUGAGGCACGAAAGCGUGGGGAGCAAACAGG
rnacentral:rRNA from 1 species